UGACCUCUCCCUAAUCGGAGAUUCCCUUCGGGACAGUGGUGACAGGUGGUGCAUGGUGUCGUCAGCUCGUGUCGUGAGAUGUUGCGUUAAGUCCCGCAACGAGCGCAACCCUCCCCUUUUAGUUGCCAGCAUUAAGUUGGGCACUCUAGAGGGACUGCCGAGGAUAACUCGGAGGAAGGUGGGGAUGACGUCAAAUCAUCAUGCCCCUUAUGCUUAGGGCUACACACGUGCUACAAUGGGUGGUACAGAGGGUUGCCAAGCCGCGAGGUGGAGCUAAUCCCUUAAAGCCAUUCUCAGUUCGGAUUGUAGGCUGAAACUCGCCUACAUGAAGCUGGAGUUACUAGUAAUCGCAGAUCAGAAUGCUGCGGUGAAUGCGUUCCCGGGUCUUGUACACACCGCCCGUCACACCAUGGAAGUUGGGGGCGCCCGAAGCCGGUUAGCUAACCUUUUAGGAAGCGGCCGUCGAAGGUGAAACCAAUGACUGGGGUGAAGUCGUAACAAGGUAACCUA
rnacentral:rRNA from 1 species